GACGAACGCUGGCGGCGUGGAUUAGGCAUGCAAGUCGAACGGUAUCAUCCUUUCGGGGGUGAGGGAGUGGCGAACUGGUGAGUAACACGUAGGUUAUCUACCCUCAAGACGGGGACAACCCAGGGAAACUUGGGCUAAUACCGGAUGUGAGCAACUUUUAGUUGUUUGAAAGGUGGCGUAAGCUGUCGCUUGGGGAUGAGCCUGCGUCCUAUUAGUUAGUUGGUGAGGUAACGGCUCACCUAGGCAAUGAUAGGUAGGCGGCCUUAACGGGUGGUCGCCCACACUGGGAUUGAGAUACGGCCCAGACUCCUACGGGAGGCAGCAGUCGAGAAUAGUCUACAAUGGUCGGAAGACUGAUAGUGCGACGCCGCGUGAACGAUGAAUCCCUUCGGGGUGUAAAGUUCUUUUAUAUGUGAGCAGUGCUUCUUAUAUUAACAGUAUGGGGAGAGAGAUAUUAGCAUAUGAAUAAGCAACGGCUAACUCCGUGCCAGCAGCCGCGGUAAAACGU
rnacentral:rRNA from 1 species